rnacentral:misc_RNA from 1 species
UUUUUAAUAGUUCAUAGCCAUUAGUACUUUCAUUGUGAACGAAAUUUUUUCAAACAUAAUAUAACAUCCCUUACAUACUCCCUUGUAAACAGGAACCAUUAAUGAAGCCCACUACUGUAAGUCUCACCUCCACCUCCUAGGAAGUCUGUAACCCAAAACACCAUUAUUCAUGUCUAGCAAAACCACUGUCACCUCCACUGCAACUGCAUCCCUUGCUGUUUUGCAAUCCCAGGCUGCAG